CACUGCCUGCCCCAGUGACAAUAGUUUAAAACGGCCGCGGUAUCCUGACCGUGCAAAGGUAGCAUAAUCAUUUGUUCCUUAAAUAGGGACUUGUAUGAAUGGCCACACGAGGGUUUAACUGUCUCUUACUUCCAAUCAGUGAAAUUGACCUUUCCGUGAAGAGGCGGAAAUAUACAAAUAAGACGAGAAGACCCUAUGGAGCUUUAAUUCACUUAAUCCAACAGAAUAACAAUUCACUCCAUCAAGGAUUAACAAAUAUUCUAACUGGGUUAAAAAUUUCGGUUGGGGUGACCUCGGAGCAUAAAAUAACCUCCGAGAAAUAUUUACUAAGACUAACAAGUCAAAGUGCUAUUCCACAAAUUGAUCCAGUCCUACUGAUCAACGGAACAAGUUACCCUAGGGAUAACAGCGCAAUCCUAUUUUAGAGUCCCUAUCGACAAUAGGGUUUACGACCUCGAUGUUGGAUCAGGACAUCCCAAUGGUGCAGCAGCUAUUAACGG
rnacentral:rRNA from 1 species